CUGGACUUGAGUGUUAAGUUCCUCUCAGGACAAAUGCUAUGUCUAACCUGGACUUGAGUGAAAUGACUGCCCUCUGGAUGCUCUGUUUGUAUCUCUGUCAGCAGUCUUCUGCUCCAACCUGGCUCACCUCAACCUGUCCAGGGACCCCUUCUCACACAGAUUGUUGUUGCAGGGUCGGCCAGAAGUAAGUACUCAUCUGUGGUGGCUGGAGCUAGACCUGAGCAGCUGUGAGUAGACACGCA